AUUGAACGCUGGCGGCAGGCCUAACACAUGCAAGUCGAGCGGAUGAAGGGAGCUUGCUCCUGGAUUCAGCGGCGGACGGGUGAGUAAUGCCUAGGAAUCUGCCUGGUAGUGGGGGAUAACGUCCGGAAACGGGCGCUAAUACCGCAUACGUCCUGAGGGAGAAAGUGGGGGAUCUUCGGACCUCACGCUAUCAUAUGAGCCUAGGUCGGAUUAGCUAGUUGGUGGGGGAAAGGCCUACCAAGGCGACGAUCCGUAACUGGUCUGAGAGGAUGAUCAGUCACACUGGAACUGAGACGCGGUCCAGACUCCUACGGGAGGCAGCAGUGGGGAAUAUUGGACAAUGGGCGAAAGCAUGAUCCAGCCAUGCCGCGUGUGUGAAGAAGGUCUUCGGAUUGUAAAGCACUUUAAGUUGGGAGGAAGGGCAGUAAGUUAAUACCUUGCUGUUUUGACGUUACCAACAGAAUAAGCACCGGCUAACUUCGUG
rnacentral:rRNA from 1 species